rnacentral:lncRNA from 1 species
CAAGAGUCCAGAAAUUGCCUUUCCCUCUAGUGUGGUGGUGCUGAGGACAUUCUGUUUAGAGGAUUCAAAAGAAGUCGUUUGUAAAUGCCAGUGACGGCGGCUUUGGCCUGCGAGCACCGCCGGUUGGGGGAGCUGAUUCCUUUCCUCUUCUCCUCGUGAAGAGCCAGCUCCAGCCUCGUCAGAAUAGAGUCGACAGAGCCAAUUCAUUUUCACUGGUUUUAUCACCAGGACAUUAGCAAGAAGACUCCACUAGGAAUUUCCUAAUGGAAGCGCCCCAACUCUUCUGCUCAGCUCUCAGGAAGGGGAAGGCAUAACAUCAGUUAUCCUUCCGAGAUGAAAGGAGAUUUUGAUGUGCGUCUUCACACCCUUCUGUAAGAUGCUACUUACUUCGUCUACCUGCUGAUCCCUAGGAUUUAAAGCUCUACUUAGCGCCGAAGCCGGACCUGGGGAGCUGUGGGAAGCUCCCGUCCUGAAGCAGUGUGAUGUCAUCUCUGAAUGGAAAAGAAAGAGAAAGAAAUCAGCCUCUAAGCUGCAAAAUGCACCAAGACAAGAAGUGAGGUGCAGGCAAGGAGAGCACCCUCUGGCUGCGUGGGGCUCGCCAUUCAUUGCAGUCACUGGAUGGAUGCUGGAGGGCUGAGACGCUGCUCCCAGCUGCAGUCCCGACCCCACGCUGGAGGCUGGUCUUCCCACGGCCUGCAGACCUUUCAG